GACUUACAUCUCUUCGGAGCAUUUUACGUAGGUGCUGCAUGGUUGUCGUCAGCUCGUGCCGUGAGGUGUCGGUUAAGUCCCAUAACGAGCGCAACCCUACCUUUAGUUGCCAUCAGGUAAUGCUGGGGACUCUAAAGGAACUGCCUACGCAAGUAGUGAGGAAGCGGGGAUGACGUCAAAUCAGCACGGCCCUUACGUCCAGGGCUACACACGUGCUACAAUGGCCGAUACAGAGGGCAGCUACCUGGUGACAGGAUGCAAAUCUCCAAAGUCGGUCUCAGUUCGGAUCGGAGUCUGCAACCCGACUCCGUGAAGUUGGAUUCACUAGUAAUCGCGCAUCAGCCAUGGCGCGGUGAAUACGUUCCCGGGCCUU
rnacentral:rRNA from 1 species